rnacentral:lncRNA from 1 species
UAAGUGUUAUGUGCCAAUUUUAGGCGUUUACACCACCAUUCCCCCAGAGUAUAUCGCACUGUUGCAAGCUAAAGACAAAAACUGACAUGAGAUUUAUUUAACAUGCAGAGAUUGGAUGGUACUUAAAAUGCAGAGUCUGAAGCUCUGCUCAAAUCUCUAUCGAUGUUUGGAAGAGCAGCUGAAUAUAUGUGUAUGUUUUCUGUACCAAAACAAGCCAUGAUCCACUCUCUCAAGUUCUUCGCAAUUCAAUACUCAACAUGGGUGUGCCGCCGGGAGCAUGUAAAGUCGUCAAAAUGCACUCUAAAAGAUGCCAUCUGUUUGCACAUUGACAAGAUAGUUGUGUCUUCAGCAGACUCCUUGUGCAGUGGGUUGAUGCUACAAAGAUCCAUCUUGCAAGACAUCAGGAAUGCAAACGCAAGGAGCCAUCAUCACUGGUUAAUCGAAAACGAGUAAUUCCUACUGCUAAUCUGAGGCCUCUUUGCGAUUCCGGUUGCAUUUUACCAGCCUAUUGUUCCUUUGAUGCUGGAAAAGCAAGGGAGAGAGACAGAGCGCCUGACAUAUCAGUAGGCGGUGGAUCUCCUUUAUUCCACUUUUCUUCAACCAUCGGUUUUCUAGAAGAUGUGUUGUCCCCCAAUGCUGGCUUGAGAUCCUGUGUGUUCUGUUCAGGUAAAUCUUCAGACUGAACGGUCAUGCUAUUUCCAGUCGCUGCAUCAUCCACCGAGUUUAUAUCUGCAUCAUCCACCACGUUUAGAUCUAGCGGAAAUGUGCACUUUCCAUUACUCUUUGAGAUUCCUGCCAUGGUCUUAUUGUCAGUGCAAUCAUGAACAGGUAAAGCUGCUAGAGGGUGUACCUUGGAUGAUAACCUUCCAUCUCUGAUCGUCCCACUUAAACUAGACUCCACAGUGGACGAUACAUUAUCCAAUUUAAUUUUCUUGUCUACUGAUCCAUUGGCUCCAUCAAUCCAGUUUGCCAUAUCCACAUUUCUUUUUUGUGCACUACGUGAUGCAUGUGAAACAAGAUCCACUGUGCCUGAGUUCAGUUCAAUGUUAUUUGCAUGAUCUACAUCCAUCAGGCUCUCUGCAUUGUUAAGGUUGAUGGCUCUGUUCUGAUUAUCU